CGGCACCUUUACCUGCGAUGCACCUGCAGGAGCUGCUUUAUCGGAGCUGCUUUAUCGUGAGGCUGCUCAGUCUAAUUCAGCAAAGAGACAUUAUCGGUGGACAUAAAGAAGAUUUGUGAGACCCAAAGGGGAAGCAUGCGAGUUGACCACGAGACUCAAACGCCGCCACCUGAGAGUGUGAAGGUUGACUUCUCAGUGGUAUGACAGGUCUGAGUGUAUCUUACAGGGUCACGACCCUCCCAGGCUGUGACCUGGACAAACAGGACCGAGAAGCAAGAGGACAUGGAAUGUCCCUUUUGUUUUGGUUAACAAUUUUUGCUGAAAAGGUGGAAAUGUCCUCCCUUUGCACUUGCAGGAGCAAAAGAAAAAAAAUUCUUGGCAACCUGAGUUAGAGUUUACGUAACAUUUGUAUUGUGGCUUUUACAGAAAUUAUAAAAGCUCAGGCAGCUCUGUGUUUUACCUGGGGAUGCAUUAUUCUUCUUUUCUAAGCCACUGAAAAAAUGAUUUAUUUUAAGAACGCCGCUUUUUCUUUGUGAACACAUUUUUGGUGUUAGCACAGCCACUUGUCUGUAUUUUUAGUAUGUCCCAUAUUAUAUAUGUUUCAUGCGCCUGUAACCAUCUGGAACCAAUUGUUUCUUAA